CCGAGUGAGGGUCCCUUGCGGGCCCAACCUCCCACCCGUGUUUAACUGUACCGUGUUGCUUCGGCGGGCCCACCGGGGGCCCUGUUCCUGGUCGCCUGGGGGCGUGAAACCCCCCGGGCCCGCGCCCGCCGGAGACCCCAUUGAACCCUGAGUGAAUCGAGUGUCUGAGUGUGAUUUUUAAUCAUUA
rnacentral:misc_RNA from 1 species